UACAGAGGUCUCAAGCGUUGUUCGGAUUCAUUGGGCGUAAAGGGUGCGUAGGCGGCGCGGUAAGUCGGGUGUGAAAUCUCGGAGCUUAACUCCGAAACUGCAUUCGAUACUGCCGUGCUUGAGGACUGGAGAGGAGACUGGAAUUUACGGUGUAGCGGUGAAAUGCGUAGAUAUCGUAAGGAAGACCAGUGGCGAAGGCGGGUCCCUGGACAACACCUGACACUGAGGCACGAAAGCCGGGGGAGCAAACAGG
rnacentral:rRNA from 1 species